rnacentral:misc_RNA from 1 species
AGUUUUCCUAUUCCUGUAUCAUAUGUGUAUCUAGUGCAUUCUCAAACUUUCAGUUUUUCCCUAUGAACAUCUUCAACAAAAUGGACAAAAUCUGUCUUUUUUUUUCCAGCUAUCACGCACCUCAACUAAUUCCGUGAUGUACCUGAUAUCUUGGUCUUAGUGUUAACUCUUAUUACAAUAAUCACCAUUUGCUUUGUUUUAUGCUUAUGGUUUUCCCAUCCGGUGACUCAUCUGCCUUCUCGUCAUCCCAAUCCUCGUCCCAACUCUCAUUCCACCCUUCCGAGGAAAUUUCUAGCUUCAUGGAAGAUUGAGGUUCGGGUUGUCCCAUUUCAAGUUCCUGAUAUGCGAUACCAUCAACAUGUCGAUCCUGCGUUCUCAACUUGCAGCAGAUAACUAUUCCUCCUAUAAGAAGAGCUGUCAUACCAAGCAAGUAUGCCCCAUUAGUUGGGUUCACAUACAUGGUAUAAGAUGGCAUGUUAAAGUAGCCUUGCCAUAAUGAACGUCCUAUGUUAAUCGUACAUUUCCCAGUUCCAGCGUCAAGCAUAAUUGACGAACUCCCUCCAAUUUUGGACGAAAUAUUAAUCUGUUUGAAAUCAUGUUUUGGUAUCUGAAUAUUCUCAUACGUUUUGUUUGCAGAUGAAACAUUGACCUUCAGCGUCAAAGCAUUGUCACCGUUGUUCAGGACGAACAGAAAUGGUUCCUCAUGUCCUUUCCCGGCAGGAAAAAAGCAGGCAGUCAUACCAAUAUGAUCAUCCUGACACUUAUUAGACACACCGAUACAAGUACCACUACCAAAACCCGCCGUUGGCUGACCUACAGGGACUUGAUCAGUACCUAAAUUCCCUUUAACAGCAGCACCAGACCUUGGUGAUGGAGCUACCUGAUUAUCUAAAUGCUGUAAAGGGUGUACAGAGCUUGCAUUAGAUUGCUCCAAAGAAACUGAAAUCAACGUAAUCA